rnacentral:rRNA from 1 species
UACGUAGGGUGCGAGCGUUGUCCGGAAUUAUUGGGCGUAAAGAGCUCGUAGGCGGUCUGUCGCGUCGGUCGUGAAAACUUGGGGCUUAACCCUGAGCUUGCGGUCGAUACGGGCAUGACUGGAGUUCGGCAGGGGAGACUGGAAUUCCUGGUGUAGCGGUGAAAUGCGCAGAUAUCAGGAGGAACACCGGUGGCGAAGGCGGGUCUCUGGGCCGAUACUGACGCUGAGGAGCGAAAGCGUGGGGAGCGAACAG